rnacentral:rRNA from 1 species
GCGCAGCAGGCGAGAAACCUUCGCAAUGCGGGAAACCGCGACGAGGGGACUCCCAGUGCCUACGCUCAGCGUAGGCUGUUCCCGAGCCUAGAAAGCUCGGGGAGUAAGGGCUGGGUAAGACGGGUGCCAGCCGCCGCGGUAAUACCCGCAGCCCGAGUGGUGGCCACUAUUAUUGGGCCUAAAGCGUCCGUAGCCGGCCCGGUAAAUGCCUGGGUAAAUCGUGAGGCCUAACCUCACGAAUUCCGGGUAGACUGCCGGGCUAGGGACCGGAGGAGGGAGAGGGUACUCCAGGGGUAGGGGUGAAAUCCUGUAAUCCCUGGAGGACCACCGGUGGCGAAGGCGCUCUCCUAGGACGGGUCCGACGGUGAGGGGACGAAAGCCAGGGGGAGCGAACCGGAUUAGAUACCCGCGUAGUCCCUGAGACGCCAAGGCACACA